GGCGGGUCCGCCCGCCGAUUGGACAACAUUCAAACCCUUUGCAGUUGCAAUCAGCGUCUGAAAAAACAUAAUAGUUACAACUUUCAACAACGGAUCUCUUGGUUCUGGCAUCGAUGAAGAACGCAGCGAAAUGCGAUAAGUAGUGUGAAUUGCAGAAUUCAGUGAAUCAUCGAAUCUUUGAACGCACAUUGCGCCCCUUGGUAUUCCAUGGGGCAUGCCUGUUCGAGCGUCAUUUGUACCUUCAAGCUCUGCUUGGUGUUGGGUGUUUGUCUCGCCUCUGCGUGUAGACUCGCCUUAAAACAAUUGGCAGCCGGCGUAUUGAUUUCGGAGCGCAGUACAUCUCGCGCUUUGCACUCAUAACGACGACGUCCAAAAGUACAUUUUUACACUCUUGACCUCGGAUCAGGUAGGGAUACCCGCUGAACUUAAGCAUAUCAAUAAGCGGAGGAAAAGAAACCAACAGGGAUUGCCCUAGUAACGGCGAGUGAAGCGGCAACAGCUCAAAUUUGAAAUCUGGCGUCUUUGGCGUCCGAGUUGUAAUUUGCAGAGGGCGCUUUGGCAUUGGCAGCGGUCCAAGUUCCUUGGAACAGGACGUCACAGAGGGUGAGAAUCCCGUACGUGGUCGCUAGCCUUUACCGUGUAAAGCCCCUUCGACGAGUCGAGUUGUUUGGGAAUGCAGCUCUAAAUGGGAGGUAAAUUUCUUCUAAAGCUAAAUACUGGCCAGAGACCGAUAGCGCACAAGUAGAGUGAUCGAAAGAUGAAAAGCACUUUGGAAAGAGAGUUAAAAAGCACGUGAAAUUGUUGAAAGGGAAGCGCUUGCAGCCAGACUUGCCUGUAGUUGCUCAUCCCGGUUUUUACCCGGUGCACUCUUCUACGGGCAGGCCAGCAUCAGUUUGGGCGGUUGGAUAAAGGUCUCUGUCAUGUACCUCCUCUCGGG
rnacentral:rRNA from 1 species